AAAAUGAUAGUGUUGAUCUUAGAAAAGUGAUUAAAGCUAUGCAUGAAGCUUCUACUAUUGAUCAAUAUUCUAAAUGUUCUUCUAGUGAAUCCUUGCAAUCUAAAAUUGCAGAACUUAGGAGUACAUUAGAUAGGCGUAGUGUAGAUGUUCCUAAGGUUGUUGAAGAAAAGAAGAACCCUAGGAAAAAUAGACGGCGUAAAAACAAGAAUCACGCUAGAAAUUU
rnacentral:lncRNA from 1 species